rnacentral:rRNA from 1 species
UUGAGUGGCCAAACCUCCUUGUCAAAGCCUGACCACAUCAGAUCUCUGAAGCUAAGCAGGGCUAGGCCUGGUUACAACUUCGAUGAAAGACGACUGGGAAUACAAUCUGCCACAAAAA